rnacentral:rRNA from 1 species
CGUGUAGGCGGUUAUGUAAGUCAGAUGUGAAAUCCUUCCGCUUAACGGGAGAAGUGCAUUUGAAACUGUAUGACUGGAGUACGGGAGAGGAGAGUGGAAUUCCCGGUGUAGAGGUGAAAUUCGUAGAUAUCGGGAGGAACACCAGUGGCGAAGGCGGCUCUCUGGCCUGAUACUGACGCUGAGACGCGAAAGCGUGGGGAGCAAACAGGAUUAGAUACCCUGGUAGUCCACGCCGUAAACGAUGGGCACUAGGUGUAGGAGGUAUUGACCCCUUCUGUGCCGAAGCUAACGCAUUAAGUGCCCCGCCUGGGGAGUACGGCCGCAAGGUUAA